CAGCGACGCCGCGUGGAGGACGAAGCCCUUCGGGGUGUAAACUCCUUUAAGCAGGGACGAACGCAGACGGUACCUGCAGAAUAAGCCCCGGCUAACUACGUGCCAGCAGCCGCGGUAAUACGUAGGGGGCGAGCGUUGCCCGAAUUUACUGGGCGUAAAGCGCACGUAGGCGGCUCCGUAAGUCUGGUGUGAAAUCUCACGGCUCAACCGGGAGGCUGCACUGGAUACUGCGGAGCUCGAGGGCGGGAGAGGAGAUUGGAAUUCCCGGUGUAGCGGUGAAAUGCAUUGAUAUCGGGAGGAACACCAGUGGCGAAGGCGGAUCUCUGGCCCGCUUCUGACGCUGAGGUGCGAAAGCUGGGGGAGCGAAAGGGAUUAGAUACCCCUGUAGUCCCAGCCCUAAACGAUGGGCGCUAGAUGUCGGGGAACACUCCUCGGUGUCGUAGCUAACGCAUUAAGCGCCCCGCCUGGG
rnacentral:rRNA from 1 species